ACCGGCGCACGGGUGAGUAACACGUGGAUAACCUGCCUUGAAGUCCGGGAUAACCCGUCGAAAGACGGGCUAAUACUGGAUAAGACCACGGGAAGUUCACUUCCUGGGGUAAAAGGUGGCCUCUGCUUUUGCAAGCUAUUACUUCGAGAGGGGUCCGCGUCCUAUCAGCUUGUUGGUGAGGUAACGGCUCACCAAGGCGAAGACGGGUAGCUGGUCUGAGAGGAUGGUCAGCCACACUGGGACUGAGACACGGCCCAGAGUCCUACGGGAUGCAGCAGUCAGGAAUAUUGCGCAAUGGAGGAAACUCUGACGCAGCGACGCCGCGUGGGUGAUGAAGGCCUUCGGGUCGUAAAGCCCUGUCGGAGGGAAAGAAAAGUCCGCUGGCUAAUAUCCAGCGGACCCUUGACGGUACCCUCAAAGGAAGCACCGGCUAACUCCGUGCCAGCAGCCGCGGUAAGACGGAGGGUGCAAGCGUUGUUCGGAUUGACUGGGCGUAAAGGGCGUGUAGGCGGUCGGCCAAGUCUGAUGUGAAAGCCCGGGGCUCAGCUCCGGAAGUGCGUCGGA
rnacentral:rRNA from 1 species